rnacentral:lncRNA from 1 species
CGCGCACAAUGGCUCCCAACGGCGCCCUUCGCCGGAGACAGCGCCUGAAGGUGCGCCUCCAGCGUGCCACCAGCGUUGCAGCGGAUCUGGCGACGCCUCCAACAGCGCUGCAGAUAGCGCUUGAACGCUGCAUCAAAGAGUGCCUGAACGGCGCUCCUAAUGGCGCCUGAACGGCGUCAGGAAUGACACCGAAGUAGCGCCCUGAACGGUGCCUGCAGCGUGCCUCCAAGGUGCAUGAACAGCGCCUUCAAUGUUCAAAUUAUUAUUAUUAUUUUGUUUAGGAUCCAUUAAAGGGUCCUGGAUCUGUUUGAUUCCCGUUUUGAAAACUUGAAUAUGGUUUUGGGGAAAAUGGAACCUGUGCUCU